rnacentral:rRNA from 1 species
CCUACGGGAGGCAGCAGUGAGGAAUAUUGGUCAAUGGGCGCGAGACUGAACCAGCCAAGCCGCGUGAAGGAUGACUGUCCUAAGGGUCGUAAACCUCUUUUAUCAGGGAACAAAGGGUGGCACGCGUGCCCUUUUGAAUGUACCUUAAGAAAAAGCAUCGGCUAACUCCGUGCCAGCAGCCGCGGUAAUACGGAGGAUGCGAGCGUUAUCCGGAUUUAUUGGGUUUAAAGGGAGCGCAGACGGGUUGUUAAGCCAGUUGUGAAAGAUUGCGGCUCAACCCUAAGACUGCAGUUGAUACUGGCAGCCUUGAGUACAAGUGAGGUAGGCGGAAUGCGUGGUGUAGCGGUGAAAUGCAUAGAUAUCGCGAAGAACUCCGAUUGCGAAGGCAGCCUGCUGGACUGCCACUGACGUUGAUGCACGAAAGUGUGGGUAUCGAACAGGAUUAGAUACCCUUGUAGUC